AGUCCCUUCUGUGAAGCAGGAAGGAUUUUUUUCACUGAGUUAUUUUAGAAGACUUGAAUGGACUGCUAAGGGCUUUCACACAGAAAGACUUGGAAGUCAAACUCAAGAAAUACAGAGGAAAAAACAAAUGCAGAACUAUAACAGACCCUGAGAAACUUUUCUCUGAUGGAAAUGACUCCUGGCAACAAUGACAUUCUGACACCAUGCCUGAUGCACCCUCUUUGGGAAGUCUGAAUUCCACGUCACAAUGGCUGUGUUCAGAUUACCGGUUUCAUCUUGCCUGUAAGCCCAAUUAAACUACUGACGUUUC